GCCUUAGAAGCCACGCCAAGCGCCUCUGUCUUUUGUGCUACAUAUAUAGAACACCGUUUGGUUUCUCAGCCACAACCCACAGGCCACACCCACACACACACACACACAAACACUAUCCUCUUCAAUUCCGCACCUUUUUGUUUUUGUGUUGUCUUUGUCUGUUCCAUUCGGGCACAGAAUGUGGCGGUCCUGAUAGAGUUAACUAUAAUAAAAAUCAAACGAAUGAGAACCCAAACCAUGCCUUCUCUGGAUCUCAAGGACCUUCAAGAAAAGCUCUCCAUUCAAUUCAGGCCAUUGCAGCGCUCUUUUGAGUUUUGGCUACGGACCGCUGAUAUCUACGCUGGUUACAAGGCUUUUCAAGUUCGAGUGAGUUUCGAGAAGGAUGUGCUGAAGCGGGAGGCAAUGUGGGAGAGACAGCAUGAGUUUGCCGCCGAUAAAAUUUAUGCCAUGUGCUCUGACAUGGGUGGGUUCUUCCUUAAGGUUGCCCAAAUCAUUGGAAAGCCUGACUUGGCCCCUGCCGCAUGGGUGAGAAGGCUUGUUACAUUAUGUGAUCAAGCUCCUGCGACCCCAUUUGGAGGGAUUCAGCUCGUGCUCAAGGAGGAGCUAGGUCAAAAUCUCAAUAACAUGUUUGAAAGAUUCGAUGUACAGCCUCUCGGUUCUGCCUCAAUUGCACAGGUUCAUCGAGCAAGGUUGAAGGGUGAUAAGAAUGAUGUUGUUGUCAAGGUGCAACAUCCUGGAGUACAGGAGCUCAUGAUGACGGACAUUAGGAACUUGCAGGCAUUUGCAUUAUACAUGCAAAAAACAGAUAUCAAAUUCGAUUUGUAUUCUAUAAUGAAGGAAAUGGAGAAACAGAUUGGAUAUGAAUUUGACUUUGUGAGGGAGGCCAAUGCGAUGGAAAGAAUUCAGCAUUUCCUGUAUGAAAACAAUAAGAAGUCUCCGGUUUUAGUGCCGCGGGUGCUGAAGAAUCUGGCAACUAGGAGGGUCUUAGUGAUGGAAUACAUUGAUGGAACCCCAAUCCUGAAACUUGGUGAUGAAAUAGCUAAGAGAGGAAUAAAUCCUGACAGUAAGAUUGCAGUAACAGCAAAGCGGAAUAUACUCCAAAGCCUGACACUAGCAUAUGGACAAAUGAUACUGAAGAGUGGUUUUUUCCAUGCAGAUCCUCAUCCAGGGAAUAUCCUGAUAUGCAAAGGUUCAGAGGUGGCCUUGCUAGACUAUGGGCAAGUGAAGGAUCUUCCAGAUAAUUUGAGGCUCGCCUAUGCCAAUUUGAUUGUUUCUCUUGCUGAUAAGAACCCCAUGAGAGUAUCAGAGAGCAUCAGGGAGCUUGGAAUAGGUACUUUCAGCAAAUGUCAGAACGAACAACAGGAAAUGUUUAAGUUGGCAGAGACAUUGUUUGACACAAAACUUCCUCCUGGGGUGACCACCUUGCAACCUUUUGCAGAGGAUUCUUCAAUUAAGAAAAUUGCAGUGUUGGCUUUUCCAGAGGAACUAUUUUCUGUUCUUCGCACAGUGCAUCUUUUGAGAGGACUUAGCGUUGGUAUGGGGAUCAACUAUUCGUGCGCUGAACAGUGGAGACCCAUUGCUGAAGAAGCUCUGUAUCAUGCUGGCAGAUUAAAAGAUGUAGAAUUCAAAUCUAAAGUUCGUAAACGACGGUUCUUCCGAAGAUUACUUCCACGGGGAUGAUUGGCCUGUGAGAAGCAGGUGUGUAAUCGUGAGCCCUUGGUUUUCAAGUUAUUAGCUCUCUCUUGCAGUUUUGGAGGGCAAAAAUUGUAGUUGGCACGGAAGCAGCUUUCGGUACUUUGCAAAUCGUUUGAUUAGUUAUCGGGAGGAUUUCACUGAAGAUGAUUUGAAUCUCCUACUAGGUCUCUUUUCUCGAAGCUUAUGGGACUCCAAACAUCAAAUUACUGGGUUACAGGGGUUGAUGUACUAAAAACAUAUAAAGCAGUUGAUUGUUAAAAAAUUAAUCUAUGGUUAAUAUUUUAUCUUCCAAAUCCAAUGGUUCACAGUUAUUUUAA